rnacentral:rRNA from 1 species
UAGGGAAUCUUCCACAAUGGACGAAAGUCUGAUGGAGCAACGCCGCGUGAGUGAAGAAGGGUUUCGGCUCGUAAAACUCUGUUGUUAAAGAAGAACAUAUCUGAGAGUAACUGUUCAGGUAUUGACGGUAUUUGACCAGAAAGCCACGGCUAACUACGUACCAG